rnacentral:SRP_RNA from 1 species
GUAGGCAAGCUGGCGCGCUAGCCCUGCGCCGUCAUGCAAAUGGGCUUUAUGGCAGGCUUAAAGGAGCGAGUGAGGCGGACUCUUUGCAGUCUCUUGCUGGACGUUGACGUUUUGUCCUGUUCGAUCUUGCUCCUGUGAAACGGGUCAGGCCUUGAUCGGAGCAGCCCUAAGCAGGAAACAAGGUGCUUUCAGGGUUGCAAAACCGAGAAAAGCAAGAGGGCUCUGCAACGGGAAACCCAAGCAAACUCCCUGCCUAC